GACGAACCGUGCGAACGUUAUUCGGAAUCACUGGGCUUAAAGCGCGUGUAGGCGGCCCGGUAAGUCCGCUGUGAAAGUCCAGGGCUCAACCCUGGGAUGCCGGUGGAUACUGUCGGGCUCGAGUCCGGAAGAGGCGAGUGGAAUUCCUGGUGUAGCGGUGAAAUGCGCAGAUAUCAGGAGGAACACCAAUGGCGAAGGCAGCUCGCUGGGACGUGACUGACGCUGAGACGCGAAAGCGUGGGGAGCAAACAGG
rnacentral:rRNA from 1 species